AUUGAACGCUGGCGGCAGGCCUAACACAUGCAAGUCGAGCGGAUGAAGGGAGCUUGCUCCUGGAUUCAGCGGCGGACGGGUGAGUAAUGCCUAGGAAUCUGCCUGGUAGUGGGGGAUAACGUCCGGAAACGGGCGCUAAUACCGCAUACGUCCCGAGGGAGAAAGUGGGGGAUCUUCGGACCUCACGCUAUCAGAUGAGCCUAGGUCGGAUUAGCUAGUUGGUGGGGUAAAGGCCUACCAAGGCGACGAUCCGUAACUGGUCUGAGAGGAUGAUCAGUCACACUGGAAGUGAGACACGGUCCAGACUACUACGGGAAGCAGCAGUGGGGAAUAUUCGAGCAAGGACGAAAGCCUGAUCCAGGCAUACCGCGUGUGUAAAGAAGUUCUUCGGAUUGUAAAGCACUUUAAGUUGGGAAGAAGGGCAGUAAGUUAAUACCUUGCUGUUUUGACGUUACCAACAGAAUAAGCACCGGCUAACUUCGUG
rnacentral:rRNA from 1 species